AUCUCCUAAAUAAAGAUGCGGGUUUUCUACCGAGUUGCGCUACUGUUUUUUACGUAGCUGUGCCUGCGCGCUCCAUAGCCGCGUAGACCUCAGUCUUGCUACGCCAACCGCCUCGGCUGCUACGACGCGUAGCGGUCACGGAUGGCCGUUUGCUACGAAUGCUACGGAACUAAAACUUUAGCUCGACUCGGCUAAAAAGUGUGUGUAAUUUAGUAAAAAAAUAGAUUGUUAGUGCACUAAUUUUAGUGUUUGUGUUUGGUGAGUGUGAACACGGACCGGUGUCCAAAUUGCAAAAGCAACGAACGAUGACUUCUUUAUUUUGCAGGCUAUGAGGCGGCGCAUACGCGGCCUCGCCCGGGCGCCAUGUGGAGCGCAUGCGUGAUCCUGCUCGCACAGAUAGUUGUAUGCCAGUUUGCUACAGAUAACCCUACAACACUAACAACAGAAGAGCAAACGGUCUCAUCAUUCUACCCUCUCAGUUCAGUACAAUCCCCUGCCCCAAUAAUGCUGCGCCUGGGCAAGUCCACCAUCGACAGCACUAAAUCUUUCAAAGUACCUCAGCCAUCUCCACAGCCCACAACCCAGUCGAGCUCAGACCGGCCGGCAGCUUUAGGCAAAAUUGUGGUGCCCCAUGUCGUGUCAGUAUCGAGAAACACGUACUUUGACCAUGAUCGGAGAUACGGGCCGACGUUUGAAGAUGUUCCUGAUGGAAAUGUUACUAAGAUAACUGUGCAGUUGGGAGAGGAUGCGCAUUUGAACUGCAGGAUCAGUCUGCUUCAGGAUAAAACGGUAUCCUGGGUCCGGCGCAGAGGCAAAGACGAAAUGCCGGAGCUCCUCACAGUCGGCGCAGUGACAUACGCGGCUGACGACCGCAUCUCUGUAGCCAAGCGGUAUCCUGGCAACUGGCGGCUCCUCAUUAGGGAGGUGAAACCGGCGGAUGAGGGAGUGUACGAGUGCCAGAUAUCCACGCACCCGCCAAGGGUCAGCAGGACCUAUUUGCAUGUUAACACUCCACAAGUAUGGGUUGUCGACGAGGCCGGCAACCCGCUCCUAGAGAAGUUUUACGAGGCCGAAUCCACUUUGGCACUGGUCUGCCGAGCGAGACACGUGGACACCCCAGCGGUGCUGAUCUGGCUCCAUGAAGGAAGGGCACUGAAUGCUGAUACUACUAGAGGAGGAAUCAGCGUCAAAACCGAGCAAGUCCCAGGCGGCGCGGACAGCCUGCUUCGCCUCGCACGAGUGAACAGCAGUGACGCCGGGAACUACACGUGCGCCGUGCGAGGAGCUCGCCCCCACACCGUGUCCGUGCACGUGCUCAAUGGUACGGUCUAACUCACAGCGUCAAGACCUAGCAAAUCCCAGGCGGCGCGGACAGCCUGCUUCGCCUCGCACGAGUGAACAGCAGUGACGCCGGGAACUACACGUGCGCCGUGCGAGGAGCUCGCCCCCACACCGUGUCCGUGCACGUGCUCAAUGAAAGCCUAGCCGAGCUGCACGCCGGGUCAGCACACCACCCGGUUUCCGCAACCACAAUAACGAUAGCGUUAAUAACGUUAACCGUUAUAACGUACGACAUAACGUCGUUAACGCCGUUGCUCGUCGCAUCACUAGUCUGCGUGACGGAGGGCCCAUCGAACGAAAAUGUUAUGGUACUACCCACGUGAUAAAUAAUAUUGUGUAAAUAAAUUAAGAGAUUAUUUAAUAAAUAUUAUAAUUAACGGUUACGGGGAAAUAAAAUUUCAUUAUAACUA